GGCUUGGCUGAGUGACUUCUCUGUUCCACAUGGCAUUGACACGGUACGUUUCAGCUGGUGGCUGGCCUGGUCUGGUGGGUCCAAGGUAGCUUUGUUCACAUGCCUGCUGUCUUGGUGAGGUGGCCAGAAGUUUGGGCUGAGCUAGUUCUUUCUCUCUUUUUCUGCAGUCUCAGGGCCUCUCCAUGUGUUUUCUCGAGCAAUGUGUUUGGUCUUCUGGAAUUAUGAUUCAUGGAUUCAAGAGACCACGGUAGAAGCUUCUAAUCCUCUUAAAAAGCAAGACUGAUCAUGGGAAACUGUCCUGUCCACUAGUACAUUAUUUGUAAGUAGUAGAGGCCAGCCCAAAUUCUUAGGGAGGGAAGAUGAGCUCCAUCCCUCCAUGUGAAGGGUGUCAUUUGUGGCCAUCUUUAAUCUUCCACAGCUUAAAUGAAAAACAGAAGCCCUCACUCAUCCUUCACUUCUCCUGAUGCCUGUUCCCCUGAGGCAACCACUUUCAGCUGUCCAACUGCUUAUGUUGGUGUUUAACGCCAUGUUUUUGAACAACAUGGCUAUGCUGCCAUUUCCCUGGAUUUAUCAAUUUCAGACACUGGCUUCUUUUCAGAGUAGAUGGCGUCUUACCUCAAUCUUUCUCCUUCUCUCUAAUCUCUCUCUCUGUAUGUCUCUUUCUUGCCCCCUUACACACACACAUACACACACACACACACACACUCUCACGUAGACACACACACAGAUACACACAUACACAGGCACACACACUUUCCCUUCUCUGAUUACCGCAAAUACAGCAAUGUCAUAAUUUGGACAAUAUUAUGUAAUCUACUAAUUCUAUUUCCUCCUGGAGACCAAACCUCUCUUCCAGAGCUUUCUGCCCUCCUGCUGCAGUCUAGACUGGGUUCUCUAGGCCUGUGGCUGUCAGCUGUCAUGCCGGGCCUUCUCUUCAUUCUUAUUCUGGGAAGUCUCUUUGUCUCUUUCCUGGGUUGGGGCCCCUGUUUGUCUGAAUCCCUUAUUUUCUCUUUUUUGGUUAACUACCUUGUUUUACUGUAGAUAAUCUAUUUUGGCCCCCAAACUCAUCUUGGGUUUGUCUCCUUCCUUCCUUCCUUUCUUCCUUCCUUCCCUCCUCCUCCUCCUGCUUUUCUUUCUUUUUUCUCUUUCUUUCUUUCUCUUUCUUUCUUUCUUUCUUUCUUUCUUUCUUUCUUUCUUUCUUUCUUUCUUUCUUUCUUCUUUCUCUCUUUGUCUUCCCUUCUUUCUUUUCUUCCUUCCUUUCCCUUCCUUCCUUCCUUCCUUCCUUCCUUCCUUCCUUCCUUCCUUCCUCCUUCCUUCAAGCUUUCUUUCUUUUUCUUUCUUCUUUCUCUCUCUCUGGAAGUCAUUUGUCCUGUUGGGCAUAGGAGGACGGUAGUAGUGAAUGUUUGGGCAACCUUCUUUAGCAUGGAAAGCAAACCUCUCCCUUCUCUUUCAGAAAUGGGAGAUCUGGAAAUACUGUUUCUGGAGAAAGCUCUUCCUGACCUUGAGGAAAGGAAUCAAUGCUCUGGGGUCCAGGUUUAAUGGAUUAUCAUUCCUGUUAGCCAUUAAUAGCUACUGUGUCAGAAAAAGAGAAAAUAGAAUUUUUCUUCAGUGGCAACAGGAGAAAGGGGACGUAGGUUAAAUUGGCUGAGGAAGGGGGGAGAAGUGUAUGUGUGGAAGUGAACACAAGGGCUAGCAGGGAGGUCACUGCCAGAGAAGUUCCAUGCCCCACCCUGAUGGUCCUGGUCUGUAUUGGGAGCUUCGGUGCUGGCCUUAAGCGUACUGCAGGUGAACGACAGCCACUGUGGGUGCCCAGCUGAGUCCUCUUUCCUUUACUCCGCAGCAAUCAGAGGAAGCUACUCUCUGAUUUGUAACCUACUUCUGUCUCCAGGACAACCAUAAGACCAAAGGACUCCUUGGACACCUAGUCAGGAGGGUGGUGAGUUGAACUGAGCAAGCUUGAGCAUCUCAAACUGAAGUGGACACUUGCGCUUUAUACAGAUUUUCUUCAAUAUACGGCUUAAAUGAAGAGGGAACCAGCAAAGAGCAAAAAUUACAACCAAGCAGAAAACUGUUUUUGCCACUUCUCGACGCUAAAGGAAAGUGAGAAAAAAAUAGGACAACAAAUUUAGUGUUUUUAUACUAGAUGCAAGAACUACAGUACCAAGAAGUAGCAGACACCAGAGAAAGAAUAAUUCAAAGAAGAGCCAGGAGAACAGCCUGGCUUACACUGCCUCUACCUCUUCAAGAUUCUAAGGGUACCAUGACGAAGCCAAUCGCUUCAGGAAUGGCCAGGAUAAAGGACAGGAUCCAGAUGGAGACAAUUUCAAUGGCAGUUACCAAAGGAAUCCCAAUUCCCUGAACACGACUCCAGGAGGCAACUGCUCUGUACCUGAAAAAAAGGUUCCAGGUCUGGCCUCUGAAAGGAGCCUUGAGCCUGCUGGAGCAAAAACAGAGAGGACCCUGAGACUACAUGGAGGGGGAGAUGGGCUCUGCUGAGCUCAGACAUCCAGCUGUCCCUGCCAAGGUGCCAGGCAUGUGAGUGUUGGACCUCUGACACAAGCUCAGAGUCAGCUGAAGUCCACCAACCCCAGGUGACGUGACAAGGAGCAGAAGAAUUGCCCAAAUUCCUGACCUUCAACAUGGUGAGAUAUGAUAAAACGGUUGUUGUUCUGAAUUGCUAAGUUUUGGGGUAGUUAUCAAAGAGAAGUGGGGUAGCAAAAUUAACCAGUUGCCUGAUCUUGACAAUAGAAUAAGAUAAAAGAACAAAUAACUCAGUACGAUAGUGAACAGACUCCCAAAUAAGAUCCUAUUGCCCUAGCCAGCCUUGGACUUUGUCCAGUUCCCUGCUCAUGUCUUCUGGCUCAGACCCUUCCUCUGUGUCUUCACUAUUGUCAUGGUGCAAUAGAAAACCAUAACACCAGGAAAAUAAGGAGAAACCAAGUCCAACUCUAACAAAGAGGUUUUUCUGAAAACCACCUUCAUGUUUCUUGAGUUAGGAUAUACCUUUGAGAAUAUCACAGAGACCACUGAUCAAUUAUUUGAAAUGAUGGGUUCAAGAACUGACAUCAGCUUUUCAGCCAUAUAAAACAAAGCUGCCUCAUUAAUGGAUCUUUGCAACUUUUCCAAGUAUCUAAUAACACAUCACUCUGGAAUAGUUGUUAAAAGAGUUUUAUCUUUUUAUAGCCUUCUUCCCCAGGCAACUUUUAACAAGUUGGAUCUGUACCCAGACCUUUUUACUGGUCUGACCCCAUCAUCAUCAUCUUCCACUUUAACACGAUUUUGCAAAGAUCAACAGUGAUCCCUCCUACCCCUCUCCUGCUGCUGCUUUUUUUUUUUUUGCCUCCAAACAAACUCAAAGUAAUAUAUAAAACUUGUCACUUUCAGCAUGUAAAAAUAACUAUUUUAAUAGCUGGUAAUGGCUGGUUAUUCAUUUUUGUUGGGAAAAGUUUAUUCAUUAUAGAAGUAUACUGCCUUAGAAUUAAAAAGAUAAUUCAACAAGAAAGCUGGAUAGGGGUCAAAAUUUGUUUCUGAAUUUCUUCAGUUCCUGAUUUGUCUUUUUCUCAAAUGACCAAGGAUGUGAAACUAGAUUUGCGGAGGAAUUAUUCAAAAGGUUAAACUGAGACAAGUCCAUAGUUGAAAUUAGCAAUGAAAGCCUAUCCAUUCUGGCAGAAAUCAUGUGCUUUCUCUCAGUCCUGUUUAGCUUAUUCAGAUUAAAAGCUGAUAGUGAGAAAGCUAGAUAUUUUCUUUGAUCUUACAUCAUUCUGUAAUCAUUGAUUGACGAAGUAAUAAAGAAAUCCUAUAGAACUUGGAUGUAAGGUUUCUCUCAUUUUCUUUCAAACAACUCUGAAAUGUGAGAUAAUUAUGUUUUUAAAAUACUGUGUAAAAAAAUCAUGGGAACUCUUUGUCCUGGGCCAUAAUUUAUUCAGCUCAUAAAAUGAAAGCAGGGAUUCACAAACUGCAACAGGUUCCAAACUCCCUUUUCAUUCCUUGUUUCAUUUUAAAAAGUGUUUUUUAUUUUUUAUUUUUAUUUUUUUUUGUAGUAGUAGAAUAUAAUGCAACCAAAUUAAGAGUUAAAGCAAAUGGAAUCUUAUCUUCAGGAAUUAAGUGUGAAUGAUUCAUUCUCUCGUGUGAAAGCUUUUGAAAUAGAAAUGUCAAAUAGAUUCCCUACAUACAAGUCCUGAAGCUUAGGGUCAAUACCAAAUGAAAUGUAAAAAUAGUAAAGUGUGUGUCUAGGGAACAAAGAAUGAUUAGUUUAUUUUCAAGGAAAGACCUUUUGGAUUAAGGCUGAUUUUUGUGAGAGUGGAAUUUUAAAAUAGUUCAUUUCCUUGAUCUACAACUCAGAUCAAAUCUUAAUGAGAUAGAUUCUUGGCAUCAUUUUUUCUUACUUUCUUUUCUUUUUUUUCUUUUCUUUCUUUUCCUUCCCUCCUUCCUUCAGUCCUUCCUUUCUUUUUAACUAAGAAUGACUCACAUUUCAUUUGAUACACAACUAUUUAUCGUGAUGGAACAUCUUAUUUCUUUUUCU
rnacentral:lncRNA from 1 species